rnacentral:rRNA from 1 species
UACGUAGGGUGCAAGCGUUGUCCGGAAUUAUUGGGCGUAAAGAGCUCGUAGGCGGUCUGUCGCGUCGGCUGUGAAAACCCGGGGCUCAACCCCGGGCCUGCAGUCGAUACGGGCAGACUAGAGUGCGGUAGGGGAGACUGGAAUUCCUGGUGUAGCGGUGAAAUGCGCAGAUAUCAGGAGGAACACCCGUGGCGAAGGCGGCUCUCUGGUACGUGACUGACGCUGAGACGCGAAAGCGUGGGGAGCAAACAGG